rnacentral:rRNA from 1 species
UACGUAGGGUGCAAGCGUUGUCCGGAAUUAUUGGGCGUAAAGAGCUCGUAGGCGGUCUGUCGCGUCUGCUGUGAAAACUCAGGGCUUAACCCUGAGCUUGCAGUGGGUACGGGCAGACUAGAGUGCGGUAGGGGAGACUGGAAUUCCUGGUGUAGCGGUGAAAUGCGCAGAUAUCAGGAGGAACACCCGGGUGGCGAAGG